GUCGAGCGGAAUCUUGUCCUUCGGGACAAGGUUAGCGGCGGACGGGUGAGUAACACGUAGGCAACCUGCCCUCAAGACUGGGAAAACCUCCGGAAACGGAUGCUAAUACCGGAUAUGCGGUUUCUCCUCCUGGAGAGAUCGGGAAAGACGGAGCAAUCUGUCGCUUGGGGAUGGGCCUGCGGCGCAUUAGCUAGUUGGUGAGGUAACGGCUCACCAAGGCGACGAUGCGUAGCCGACCUGAGAGGGUGAUCGGCCACACUGGGACUGAGACACGGCCCAGACUCCUACGGGAGGCAGCAGUAGGGAAUCUUCCGCAAUGGACGCAAGUCUGACGGAGCAACGCCGCGUGAGUGAGGAAGGCCUUCGGGUCGUAAAGCUCUGUUGCCAGGGAAGAACGGGUGGAAGAGUAACUGCUUCCGCCAUGACGGUACCUGAGAAGAAAGCCCCGGCUAACUACGUGCCAGCAGCCGCGGUAAUACGUAGGGGGCAAGCGUUGUCCGGAAUUAUUGGGCGUAAAGCGCGCGCAGGCGGCUUUGUAAGUCCGGUGUUUAAUCUUGGGGCUCAACCCCAAGUCGCACGGGAAACUGCAAGGCUUGAGUGCAGAAGAGGAAAGUGGAAUUCCACGUGUAGCGGUGAAAUGCGUAGAUGUGGAGGAACACCAGUGGCGAAGGC
rnacentral:rRNA from 1 species